rnacentral:rRNA from 1 species
CCUACGGGUGGCAGCAGUGAGGAAUAUUGGUCAAUGGGCGAGAGCCUGAACCAGCCAAGUCGCGUGAGGGAGUACUGCCCUAUGGGUUGUAAACCUCUUUUGUCGGGGAGCAAAAGCCGGACGUGUCCGGCUGUGAGAGUACCCGAAGAAAAAGCAUCGGCUAACUCCGUGCCAGCAGCCGCGGUAAUACGGAGGAUGCGAGCGUUAUCCGGAUUUAUUGGGUUUAAAGGGUGCGCAGGCGGAUUUUUAAGUCAGCGGUAAAAUCGUGGGGCUCAACCCCAUCCAGCCGUUGAAACUGGGGAUCUAGAGGAUCAGAGAGGAUUGUAGAAUUCCUGGUGUAGCGGUGAAAUGCGUAGAUAUCAGGAGGAAUACCGUUAGCGAAGGCGGCAAUCUGGCUGGAAACUGACGCUGAGGUGCGAAAGCGUGGGUAGCAAACAGGAUUAGAUACCCGAGUAGUC